CUUCUUUAUAUAUGUGUGGGAAUGUGACGUCAUUGUCACGUGACGUGAUCACAUGACCGGUGACCGGUAGAAUGUAAGUUAUUGGCAGUUUAUUGGCAGUUUCAGAAAACCUUUCUCUUUGCUACACGCGCACCGUUAUCUCCCUCAAAAGCUGAGUAUGAGCGUUUCCCCUCCUGGAUGGAGCCAGGAGGAUCUAUUACUCUGUCAAAGAAAGCCUGGUUUUUAACCUUCUUUUAAUGUUAUAUCGAAUUGGUGUUUGAGCUGGCAACUAUUAUGUUGCGUUUUUUUUCAAAAAUACACAUUUAAAACUUUU